UCUAUUGUUAACACCCAUAAUCCUCUUAAAAAAUGUGUUUUAUGAUAUUAUGAAACGUGUUUAUAAUGAUAUGCUUUUUAUUGGAUUGUGGGAUAUGAAAUGUGUUUAUAAAGCGUUUUUAUUAAUUACGAUAUUCAAACGUGUUUAUGAAUAAUUUUAUAAGAAUAAUAUUUUAUGAGUUACGAAUAAAGAUACGAAACAUGAUAAAUAAAAGUGUAACAGAUUCUAGCAGUUAGUGGGUUUACUAUUUCUAGGUCGUGCACGUACCAUCGUACCGCGGUACACCCAACAAGGGAGAGUGCUCCUUGAGGGUCACCUUAAGCUUAAAAAAAAAAAAAACUACAUUGGUACGUGCGUAUGUCCAACAAGGGAGGGUGCUCCUUAAGGACUAUCGCAAGGUGGGAGAUGUCCUGCGAGGCUAACUCGUCAGUUACCAAGUAAAAUGAAUAUUUUAUGAAAGAUGACACAUACAUUUAGAGACAACCAUAUAAUAUUGCCUUAAACUACGGUAUAUAGCACAUAAGAUGAGAGAGAAACUUAGAGAGAAAGAGAAAAAAGAAGAAAAAACAUUAUGAGAUACUAAAGCCUGUUCCAAACCCUACUAUAGACCUUGGUGUCUUCGCCUCUUUCUUACUCAUUUGUUUCCAUGGAUCUGCCAUGGAUCCUCAAGAUCUUUUCUUCAAAACUUCAACCACAGUAGAUCUCCUACUUUCCAGGGAGGUGAUUUCUAGUGAGUCGUGAUUCGCACAGUGGCCCCCGUACUUAGGUAUUCCAGGUACGUACAAGACUAGGGUGACCACCCAUCCCUUGAGGACUUUGUGAAGUGUAUUGAAUGCAAAUCAUGUGAACUUAUAUGUUGGGAAUUCAUGUGUGAUGUGUAGACAAGCAUGUGAUUAUUAUUAUUGAAUCUAUGUGAAUGAGCAUGUUAUGAAUUGAAUUAUGCUUUAUAGAUUCUGUUGAACUAUCAUGUUAUGGACUUUUAUAAUCGUUGAAUUAUGUCAAGCAUGUUGUUCAAGUUGGUUUUCAUGAAUGAGUAUUGCGCAUGCAAGUUAUUAUUAUUAUGCUAUAGUACUGGAUGUCUAGCAUAUGCUGAGCCUAUUGAAUAUUGCCGGAGUGCAUUGUUUAUUCUACCAAGGGGUAGAAUAUGUUUAGAGAGUCUAUGUGAAUUGAACUAAGGACAAUUCGUGCUAAGGGCACACCCCGCUUGUUAAUGGGCAAUGUCGGGUUAUCUCAAACAGUGUUUUUGAGAAGGAACAAUGGGAGUAAUUUCACUUGAGUCCUAUGUUUGAUCACAAGUCCUAAAGGAUUGAAACGAAGUGUCAUUGUUGAGUUGUUUCAUUGCUUAAUUAUUUGCAUGUUAUGUCUUGUGUAGAGUCUUGAGUCGCCUUGAUCAUAACAUACUAAUUAACGUAAAGUGUAACCCGAAUGAGCUUCAAAACUCUCGGAACGUAUAUACCUUGAGUAUGAACAAUGGGGGGAGUCUGGUCGAAGAACUUGUACUCCUUGAAUGAUACAAGACGUUGUUUUAUUCUUUUGUAUUAGGUCGUUGUGCAUUGGAAUUCCGUCGGUAUGGUCCGACUGUCGGUAGGAGUCCGACUUGUUGUUAUUUGGUGUAUGGUGGGCUCCCAUCACCCUUUUCUUUCCUUUUGAGGAUGCUUUAUUUUACCCGUUCGAAGCUACUUUCUUUAUUAAACUGUGAGUCAAGAGUCGUGUCAAGUGUCGAGUCUUGUCUCCAUGUUUACUUGUUUAUUAAUUGGCUUUUGCAUGUGUAUUAUUAAUUCGUUGAGUGAAACAUGUUAGGAUAGAAUGUUAUUCUAGCUUGUUCGUACUCAGCUUUCGCUGACUUCGUGCUUCAUGUUUUCUAGUCAUGGCCUUUGCCUUAAUGACCCUAUGAUGAUCCAUCAAUUGCAUUUGCGUUGUUAAGGAGUAGAAUUUUAAUAAAGCGGGUUUGUAGAGAUAACUUGCGGGAGAAGUUAUCAUGGGAUUCGUGUUGAGAGUUUAUUUCUUCCGUAUUUUAUAAACUCUAUUUAUUGUCAUGACUACAUACUUAUAGUUAAUGGAUUUUGAAAUAUUUAUUACUUUGGUUUGGGCCUUGAUGGUUCCAGUUUGUUUUUAAUGACCAUUAACUAUUUAAUAUGUUUUGAAAGUUAGUUAAA